rnacentral:rRNA from 1 species
GACGAACGCUGGCGGCGUGCUUAACACAUGCAAGUCGAACGGUGAAAGCGGAGCUUGCUCCGCUGGAUCAGUGGCGAACGGGUGAGUAACACGUGGGCAACCUGCCCCUCACUUCGGGAUAACUCCGGGAAACCGGGGCUAUACCGGAUAUGACCUCCUUGGGCAUCCUUGGAGGUGGAAAGUUUUUCGGUGAGGGAUGGGCCCGCGGCCUAUCAGCUUGUUGGUGAGGUAGUGGCUCACCAAAGCGACGACGGGUAGCCGGCCUGAGAGGGCGACCGGCCACACUGGGACUGAGGCACGGCCCAGACUCCUACGGGAGGCAGCAGUGGGGAAUAUUGCGCAAUGGGCGAAAGCCUGACGCAGCAACGCCGCGUGCGGGAUGACGGCCUUCGGGUUGUAAACCGCUUUCAGCAGGGAAGAAGCCGCAAGGUGACGGUACCUGCAGAAGAAGCACCGGCUAACUACGUGCCAGCCGCCGCAGUAA